GGGCUUGUAGCGCAGUGGUAGCGCGUCUGCUUUGCAUGCUGAAGGUCUUGGGUUCGAUCCCCAACAAGUCCA